UAAUACGGAGGGUGCGAGCGUUGUCCGGAAUCAUUGGGCGUAAAGGGCGCGUAGGUGGCCCGGUCAGUCUUUGGUGAAAGCGCGGGGCUCAACCCUGCGUCGGCCAGGGAUACUGCCGCGGCUCGAGCACUGUAGAGGCAGGCGGAAUUCCGGGUGUAGCGGUGGAAUGCGUAGAGAUCCGGAAGAACACCGGUGGCGAAGGCGGCCUGCUGGGCAGUUUAGCUGACACUGAGGCGCGACAGCGUGGGGAGCAAACAGGAUUAGAUACCCUGGUAGUCCACGCCGUAAACGAUGGGCACUAGGCGCUUGGGGGAGCGACCCCCCGAGGGCCGGCGCUAACGCAUUAAGUGCCCCGCCUGGGGAGUACGGCCGCAAGGCUG
rnacentral:rRNA from 1 species